rnacentral:rRNA from 1 species
GUAGGGAGCAAACGUUUGUCCGGAUUUAUUGGGCGUAAAGGGCUCGUAGGCGGUUCAACAAGUCGGUCGUGAAAGCCCGGGGCUCAACUCCGGGACGCCGGUCGAAACUGUUGUGACUUGAGUUCGGUAGAGGUGAGUGGAAUUCUCGGUGUAGCGGUGGAAUGCGCAGAUAUCGAGAGGAACACCAUUAGCGAAGGCGGCUCACUGGGCCGAUACUGACGCUGAGGAGCGAAAGCGUGGGGAGCAAACAGGAUUAGAUACCCUGGUAGUCCACGCCGUAAACGAUGAACACUAGGUGUAGCGGAUUUAUUCAUGUCUGCUGUGCCGUAGCUAACGCAUUAAGUGUUCCGCCUGGGGAGUACGGCCGCAAGGCUA